rnacentral:rRNA from 1 species
AUUGAACGCUGGCGGCAUGCCUAACACAUGCAAGUCGAACGAGUGGCGGACGGGUGAGUAAGGUCUGGGAAACUGCCUGAUGGAGGGGGAUAACUACUGUAAACGUUAGCUAAUACCGCAUACCAUCGGAUGUGCCCACAUGGGAUUAGCUAGUAGGUGGGGUAAAGGCUCACCAAGGCGACGAUGCCUAGCUGGUCUGAGAGGAUGAUCAGCCACACUGGGACUGAGACACGGCCCAGACUCCUACGGGAGGCAGCAGUGGGGAAUAUUGCACAAUGGGCGCAAGCCUGAUGCAGCCAUGCCGCGUGUAUGAAGAAGGCCUUCGGGUUGUAAAGUACUUUCAGCGGGGAGGCGUUACUCGCAGAAGAAGCACCGGCUAACUCCGUGCCAGCAGCCGCGGUAAUUC